UUGAUCCUGGCUCAGGAUGAACGCUGGCGGUCUGCUUAACACAUGCAAGUCGAACGGAACCUUCGGGUUUAGUGGCGGACGGGUGAGUAAAGCGUGAGAAUCUGCCUCCAGGUCGGGGACAACAGCGGGAAACUGCUGCUAAUCCCGGAUGAGCCUAAGGGUAAAAGAUUUAUUGCCUGGAGAGGAGCUCGCGUCCGAUUAGCUAGUUGGUGAGGUAAGAGCUUACCAAGGCAACGAUCGGUAGCUGGUCUGAGAGGACGAUCAGCCACACUGGGACUGAGACACGGCCCAGACUCCUACGGGAGGCAGCAGUGGGGAAUUUUCCGCAAUGGGCGAAAGCCUGACGGAGCAAGACCGCGUGCGGGAGGAAGGCCCUUGGGUCGUAAACCGCUUUUCUUAGGGAAGAAGCUCUGACGGUACCUAAGGAAUCAGCCUCGGCUAACUCCGUGCCAGCAGCCGCGGUAAUACGGAGGAGGCAAGCGUUAUCCGGAAUUAUUGGGCGUAAAGCGUCCGCAGGCGGCUUACCAAGACUGCUGUCAAAUACCAGAGCUCAACUCUGGGUCGGCGGUGGAAACUGGCAAGCUAGAGUACAGUAGGGGUAGAGGGAAUUCCCAGUGUAGCGGUGAAAUGCGUAGAGAUUGGGAAGAACACCGGUGGCGAAAAGCCGCUCUACUGGGCUGUAACUGACGCUGAGGGACGAAAGCUAGGGUAAGCGAAAAGGGAUUAGAUACCCCCUGUAGUCUUAGCUGUAAACGAUGGAGACUAG
rnacentral:rRNA from 1 species